GAUGAACGCUGGCGGCGUGCCUAAUACAUGCAAGUCCAGCGAACAGACGAGGAGCUUGCUCCUCUGACGUUAGCGGCGGACGGGUGAGUAACACGUGGAUAACCUACCUAUAAGACUGGGAUAACUUCAGGAAACCGGAGCUAAUACCGGAUAAUAUAUUGAACCGCAUGGUUCAAUAGUGAAAGACGGUUUUGCUGUCACUUAUAGAUGGAUCCGCGCCGCAUUAGCUAGUUGGUAAGGUAACGGCUUACCAAGGCAACGAUGCGUAGCCGACCUGAGAGGGUGAUCGGCCACACUGGAACUGAGACACGGUCCAGACUCCUACGGGAGGCAGCAGUAGGGAAUCUUCCGCAAUGGGCGAAAGCUUGACGGAGCAACGCCGCGUGAGUGAUGAAGGUCUUCGGAUCGUAAAACUCUGUUAUUAGGGAAGAACAAAUGUGUAAGUAACUAUGCACGUCUUGACGGUACCUAAUCAGAAAGCCACGGCUAACUACGUG
rnacentral:rRNA from 1 species